AUAGACCAAGACGGCGAUGUUUUAUUUCCAACAGGUUUUUUAUUCAAAACUUUAUUUCAACAGGUAAGAGCAACAUAUGGAAUCACAACCGUAUUUUCAAUUAGACACAAAAGUUCCAACACUCUCUGUAAGACGUUACCUCGAGAGACUCUCAAAAAUCAAAAAGUGGCUCGUAAGAGAAAUUUCAUUGAAAACGAUCCCCGAUUGCUCUUUUGAGUGUUUCGUGAAUUCGCUUCAUUUUUUAAACUCAUGGUUCAAACUUCAAAGAUUAUUAUUGGUUUAGGUACCUUUGCCAAGUCAAAAGAAAAAAAUUUCUUAUAAGCGCGACGCAUUAUCAGUUAGGCUUGACUCUUGAGAGUGCCUAACCUAAGUAGUUUUCAAACAAUGACUUGUGCUGAGCCGGUUCGCAAUCUCAACGCAACGCAGCGCAACCGGCUCUUCCAGUUCCGCGAUAAUCUAGGUGACUAUUUUUAUGCACAAAACGAACCUUUACUAGUGCACAAAGCUAAAGGGGCUGUACCGACUCUUACAACAGCAGUUUAGUUAAGCAGGAACGUCUUGAGGAAGGCAUAUAACAUUAGGAGGCUCAUUUUUGAAGACUUUUCCAACAUUUGCAGCCGUGGAUUGGCAAUAACUCGGGGAAUGCUGUCCUCCAAAUGCUCAAUCGUUUUUCGGAAAUAGUUUUUUAAAGAAGUUCAUAGCUUCAUAGCUAAACAAAACUUUCUUACAAAAAUUGGAAUUUGUUUUGGUUCAAAUUUUCUCAAGCUCGUAUUUAAAUCUUAAAACAAACUUAAAAUAAAUAACUUUACACUAAAUAAGGACACUUGACAAAAUGGUGCCAGCUUAAAAUUCUAUAUUUCCACGAUGAAUCAUCAUGGUUUUCUCAUAAGCUUACAUCUAAUACAAAUGUGAUACAGUUUGUUUGGUUUUGAAUAUAGGAGGUUUGAUGAAAAAUUUGGCCUAAAAACAUUAGAUAGAUUGAAUUUUUUUGUUAAUAUAAUUACAUUUUUAAUAAAGCAAGCUGAAAAAAAUGUAUGUAUAGUUAUAGAGGUAUGAACUAUUAAAAAUGGAUUGAACAUCUUCCUUUUCCUUAAUCAGAAAUUGUGUUGAGUUUAUUUAUAGUACCCGUAGCAUAGUGGUUAGUGCCGUAUGCUUUAAGUUAGAGUGUCCGUAUGAGAACAGUUUUAAGAAGAAUUUUAAGUUU